GACGAACCGAGCGAACGUUAUUCGGAAUCACUGGGCUUAAAGGGCGCGUAGGCGGGCGUGAAAGUCAGGGGUGAAAGCCCCCAGCUCAACUGGGGAAGUGCCUCUGAUACUUCACGCCUCGAGGGAGGUAGGGGCGUGCGGAACUUCCGGUGGAGCGGUGAAAUGCGUAGAUAUCGGAAGGAACGUCGGUGGCGAAAGCGGCGCGCUGGACCUCUUCUGACGCUGAGGCGCGAAAGCCAGGGGAGCAAACGGG
rnacentral:rRNA from 1 species